rnacentral:rRNA from 1 species
UACGAAGGGGGCUAGCGUUGUUCGGAUUUAUUGGGCGUAAAGAGCGUGUAGGCGGUUAUACAGGUCCGCUGUGAAAACUGGAGGCUUAACCUCCAGACGUCGGUGGAAACCGUAUGACUAGAGUCCGGAAGAGGAGAGUGGAAUUCCUGGUGUAGCGGUGAAAUGCGCAGAUAUCAGGAAGAACACCCGUGGCGAAAGCGGCUCUCUGGAACGGUACUGACGCUGAGACGCGAAAGCGUGGGGAGCGAACAGG